rnacentral:tRNA from 1 species
GGAAAGAUGCUCGAGUGGUUGAAGAGGCACGCCUGGAAAGCGUGUAUACCCCUAAAGGGUAUCGGGGGUUCGAAUCCCCCUCUUUCCGC